rnacentral:rRNA from 1 species
CCUACGGGUGGCAGCAGUGGGGAAUAUUGCGCAAUGGGCGAAAGCCUGACGCAGCGACGCCGCGUGAGGGAUGAAGGUCUUCGGAUCGUAAACCUCUGUCAGCAGGGAAGAACGGUCACUGUGCUAAUCAGCAGUGAAUUGACGGUACCUGCAAAGGAAGCACCGGCUAACUCCGUGCCAGCAGCCGCGGUAAUACGGAGGGUGUGAGCGUUAAUCGGAAUUACUGGGCGUAAAGCGCUCGUAGGCGGUAUGUCAAGUCAAGGGUGAAAUCCCCGCGCUCAACGUGGGAACUGCCUGUGAAACUGGCAAACUGGAGUGUGUGAGAGGAUAGUGGAAUUCCAGGGGUAGGAGUGAAAGCCGUAGAUAUCUGGAGGAACAUCAGUGGCGAAGGCGACUAUCUGGCACAUAACUGACGCUGAGGAGCGAAAGCGUGGGUAGCAAACAGGAUUAGAUACCCGAGUAGUC